AUUUUAUUUUAGCAAAGGCAAAGCAAACAGCUCAACUAGUUAAAAAUAAUCACAUAAUCAAAUCAUUUUAAAAUACAAAAAAGGGUGUAAAACAAUGUAAAAUAAUCAAAUCUAAACUGUUAAAUACAUUUAUUUUACAGUUUUACAGUCAUAUUUACAGUUAAAUACAAACAUAAAAUAAACCUUUGACUGGCUUUGAUGAGUUUUUAGUGGAGGAGUUAUGUAAUUAACAAUAAAAGGCUGUUUUUCACCUUUAAAUAGUUUAAAUAGACUAAAACGAAUUAGCUUUUAAACUUUCUUACCAGUCCUUCAAGAAAAGAAAACAGCUCUCUGUUCUCCUCGUGUUCUCCUUUCCAUCACUCAGCUAGCUGGCUCCUCUUCCUCCUCCUCUGCCUGCCAUGCUGCUGAGUUUGUCCUGGUGUAUCUUGUAUCUUCAGGGGUGGAAAGCCUCUGUCCCACCACCUCUCCCUCAAAGAAACACCACUGCCCAGUUACUUCAGUGUGUUUCUCACUGUGUCCUGACUCUGGACAUGUGCAGUCCUAAGACAAAGGACAUAAACAUGGCAGUUAACAAAAAAAAGAAUCGAGUGUUAUCGAAAGUGUAUUUCCUGGUUUGUGUGUAGCAGUUCCUGUGUCUGACAGUCAUGUGUUACUCUGAGCCGAGUUCUUAUUGUUCUUCAGUGUUUUACUGUCUGUGCCGCUGGAUGACCGAGUGACAUUAAACUUGUUCUUUUCUUUUAAAACUUUCCCCCCGGCGGCUUCGUGCGAGCUGUUAUUUAUAAUAAUUUGAAUUAAAAAUUAUAACAAAGAGACGCGGUGGAGUUUAGGACCGGGUGUGUCGGAAGGAUACAGAUGGAAAAAAAAAUGUUGCCUCGGAGUGACGUCAUCGCUGUCCGAAAGUGAACUUCUCCCCCUUUUUUUGUUGUUGUUGUCGCACUCUUCUGUCCGAGCUGUAAAACGUCACUAAAAUGUGACACAGUCCGUUACUAGUUUUACGUAAAACCUUGGAUUUGAUCAAAUCAGCGUUAAAAGUCGGUUAUAGACGUUUCAACAGCGUCUUAAAAUGCGUGUUAUACCAGCCUGAGUGUGGGAUCAGGAGUUAAGAACACGGACAUGUCUGCUGUGACUGCGUGGCGCUGCUCCACUUUGCUGUCUGUCGGACUCUUCGUGUUUGUCUCUGCAGACCAGAAAAUCAUCACAGCUGAGUCUGGACAGGACGUCACUCUGACAUGUCGAGCUCCAAACAACAACAUCAGACUCGUUGAGUGGAGCAGAGCUGACCUGGUAGAUGAAUAUGUGCUCUUGUACCGGGAUGGAUACUUUCUUCCAGACAACCAGCAUCCAUAUUUUAAGAACCGGGUGGAUCUGUGGGACAGACGGAUGAAGGAUGGAGACGUGUCUUUGAUUCUGAAGGAUGUGAGGGCUGCUGAUAGUGGAACAUAUGAGUGUCGUGUCAUCAUGAGACGAACACACUGGCAUGAAGACAUCACAAGCAUCAUCUACCUUCAUGUUGUUCCUCCAGGUCAGACAGGAUGGCACAGAAAGGAUGGAUUAUAUGAACUGACAUGUGGACUGGGAGUUGCUCUGUCACUUUGUCUUGUGAUUGCUGUUGUUGGGUUUUGCACAUACAAAUGUCGACUGUCCCGAAACACUACUCCACCUCGUCAGACUCCACAGCAGAACUAUGAGUUGGAUGAUCUGAGAACAGGCUGUAGACGUCAAACAUCCAGAGUUUGAUUAUCAUCAUGUUCAGACUCAGACCAACAGUGUGUGUAUGUGGUGUUGUUCCUGGGAUUUACUGACACAAAGUUAAACUGUUACAAACAUGUAUGAAGUCAUGUGAAAUAAUCUCUGAAUCUGUGAGUGUUUUUGUAUUUUUAGCUUCAGGAUCAGCAGCUGCUUGUAAACUCGCCUUACUCUGUGAGGUUUGAACCACAGAAACUAGGAUUUAUAUGAAACUAAACAUUCAUGUACAUGCAAACUCAGAUAUUUCUUUCCUGAUACUGAGCUACAAGGUUAUCCAAAUAUUUUUUAAUUAUUUAACUUUUCAUGCAGAGACACUAAGAUGUGCAAAUAAUGUAAAGUUCUUAUUCUUGUGCAGCUUCUCUUCAACUUUUUUAAAAUGUUAAUAAAGAUCUACAUGUAAACCUAUUGAAAGUCUUUUUCAGUCUUGUUUGAUGUACAAAGUUGAAAAUUAUUUUUCAAGUAUUUUUUAUCGGAAUGAUAAAUAAAAUUGGAGUUUUUCAAAGUGGCUUUGAG
ensembl:lncRNA